AAUCCUAAUUGCUGCUCUAAGUCGCUCUGGAUAAGAGCGUCUGCUAAAUGACUAAAA
rfam:Salmo salar isolate Sally breed double haploid chromosome ssa01, whole genome shotgun sequence.